UUACUUAAAUUCAGGCUUCUUUGUUUUCUGGAAAAGUAUUUUCUGGGAGUCAGAGACAUCAUCCCCAAGAACAUGAAAUCCUUGUGGUUCUUCCUUUUUCUGGUGGCAGCUCCCAGAUGUGUCCUGUCCCAGGUGCAGCUGAAGGAGUCGGGACCUGGCCUGGUGAAGCCCUCGGAGACCCUGUCCCUCACCUGCUCUGCCUCUGGAUUAUCUUUAUCCAGCAAUGCUAUGGGCUGGAUCCGCCAGGCUCCAGGAAAGGGGCUGGAGUGGGUUGGUGCAAUAAACAGUGGUGGAAGCACAUACUAUAACCCAACCCUUAAGUCCCGAGUCACCAUCACCAAGGACAACUCCAAGAAUGAAGUUUAUUUAAAGCUCAGCAGCCUGAGUCCUGAAGACACGGCCGUGUAUUACUGUGCGAGAGACACAGUGAGAGGAAGUCAGGGUGAGCCCAGACAGAAACCUCCCCUGAGGGCUCAGGAGGGGCUGGUCGACCCAGGGUGCUUGAGACCACUAGGGGGCGCCCAGUGGCCAUCUCCAGGUGCAGCUACAGGCUUCUUAGGAUGGAGCUUACCUGAGGGUCCUCGCAGGGAGACCAGACCUGCCCAGAUGUGUGCUUGGAGCUCAGGUUCCAGCACAUCCUGGGAAGCGGAGCCUGCCCCCCACUACCUCCUCUCUGCCCUGCCUCUGCACCUGGGAAACGGUUUUCUCUUCACUGCAACUAUUGUUAAGGAAUGA